CCCUUGGAGCGUUACAUCAAACGAAAGUAGUCAAGCUAUUUAAUUGGCGACAAAAUCGGACGCAAUGAGUAGGGAA
rnacentral:sRNA from 12 species